CCUACGGGUGGCAGCAGUGAGGAAUAUUGGUCAAUGGACGAGAGUCUGAACCAGCCAAGUAGCGUGAAGGAUGACUGCCCUAUGGGUUGUAAACUUCUUUUAUAAAGGAAUAAAACGAGGCACGUGUGCCUUUUUGCAUGUACUUUAUGAAUAAGGAUCGGCUAACUCCGUGCCAGCAGCCGCGGUAAUACGGAGGAUCCGAGCGUUAUCCGGAUUUAUUGGGUUUAAAGGGAGCGUAGAUGGGUUGUUAAGUCAGUUGUGAAAGGUUGCGGCUCAACCGUAAAAUUGCAAUUGAUACUGGCAGUCUUGAGUACAGUUGAGGGAGGCGGAAUUCGUGGUGUAGCGGUGAAAUGCUUAGAUAUCACGAAGAACCCCGAUUGCGAAGGGAGCUUACUAAACUGUGACUGACAUUGAUGCUCGAAAGUGUGGGUAUCAAACAGGAUUAGAUACCCCGUGUAGUC
rnacentral:rRNA from 1 species